rnacentral:rRNA from 1 species
AUUUAUGACUACUGACUGCUCUAAAGGCACCAGAUCUCAUCUGAUCUUGGAAGCUAAGCAGAAUCAGCCCUGGUUAGGACUUGGAUAGGAGACCGCCAAUGAAUACCAGGUGCUAUAGGCU